ACUCCUACGGGAGGCAGCAGUGGGGAAUAUUGCACAAUGGGGAAACCCUGAUGCAGCCAUGCCGCGUGUGUGAAGAAGGCCUUCGGUUGUAAAGCACUUCAGUAGGGAGGAAGGUAGUGUAGUUAACACCUGCAUUAUUUGACGUUACCUACAGAAGAAGCACCGGCUAACUCCGUGCCAGCAGCCGCGGUAAUACGGAGGGGUGCGAGCGUUAAUCGGAAUUACUGGGCGUAAAGCGCAUGCAGGCGGCCUGUUAAGUCAGAUGUGAAAGCCCGGGGGCUUAACCUCGGAAUUGCAUUUGAAACUGGCAGGCUAGAGUCUUGUAGAGGGGGUAGGAAUUUCAGGUGUAGCGGUGAAAUGCGUAGAGAUCUGAAGGAAUACCAGUGGCGAAGGCGGCCCCUGGACAAAGACUGACGCUCAGAUGCGAAAGCGU
rnacentral:rRNA from 1 species